AUGGGCAAACAGCACUGGCUCCAUAUCCAAUCAAGCAAGCAAAAUGGUGAGUGCUGAAGCACUGAGCAGUAUCAGCAAUAAUGGAAGCAGACAUGCGUAAACCAUUUUGAAUCAGGUGCUGAUGAACAGCACCAACAGCUAAGAGAAUAGGGAUGGCAGGACGAGUUGGGUGCAGCUCUUCAGAACGGUCAGAAAGAAUAAGCAGUUGAGAACCAUUACGAACAGCUUCAUCUGCCGCUUCGCAGAGAUUCUUCAGUGUUCUCUCCAAUGAACCAUCCAAUCCUUUGCGGAUGCCAAAAAAUGUUUGCA
rnacentral:misc_RNA from 1 species